ACUGCGGACGUCAUUAACGAGUUUUGAACAGGGUUGUAGGCUGGUCUUUCUUAAUGGAGAGACAUGUGCACGCCCUGCUCAAUCCACUCUCAAACCCCUGUGCACUUACUGUAGGUUAUGGUGGGAUAGCUGGCCCUGGGCCAGUAUUGAAAGCCUUGCCUAUGUUUUAUUACAAACGCUUCAGUCAAAGAAUGUAACAUUGGAUUUAAUGGAAUAAAAUACAACUUUUAGCAACGGAUCUCUUGGCUCUCGCAUCGAUGAAGAACGCAGCGAAAUGCGAUAAGUAAUGUGAAUUGCAGAAUUCAGUGAAUCAUCGAAUCUUUGAACGCACCUUGCGCUCCUUGGUAUUCCGAGGAGCAUGCCUGUUUGAGUGUCAUGGAAUUCUCAACUUUCAAAGCUUUUUGCAAUGAAAGCUUGGAUUUGGAGGUAGUGUUGGUUUGCAAAAGUCAACUCCUCUGAAAUGUAUUAGUGUGAACCUUACGGAUCACCUUCAGUGUGAUAAUUGUCUACACUGUGGUGUUGAAGUAUCUUAGUGUUUGUGCUUCUAACUGUCUGUAUAGACAAGUUUACUUGACAAUCUGACCUCAAAUCAGGUAGGACUACCCGCUGAACUUAAGCAUAUCAAA
rnacentral:rRNA from 1 species